rnacentral:tRNA from 1 species
UGGGAUGUAGCUCGGUUGGUAGAGCACUUGCCUAGCAUGCAGAAAAUCUUGGGUUCGAACUCCAGCACUACAU